rnacentral:tRNA from 1 species
GGAGGGGUGGCAGAGUGGUCGAAUGCACCGGUCUUGAAAACCGGCGAAGGUUUACCCCUUCCCAGGGUUCAAAUCCCUGCCCCUCCGCCA